GAGUGGCGAACGGGUGAGUAAUGCAUCGGAACGUGCCCAAUAGUGGGGGAUAACGUGUGGAAACGCACGCUAAUACCGCAUACGUCCUACGGGAGAAAGCAGGGGAUCUUCGGACCUUGCGCUAUUGGAUGAGCCCAAGUCAGAUUAGCUAGUUGGUGAGGUAAUGGCUCACCAAGGCGACGAUCUGUAGCUGGUCUGAGAGGAUGAUCAGCCACACUGGGACUGAGACACGGCCCAGACUCC
rnacentral:rRNA from 1 species